rnacentral:lncRNA from 1 species
GCAGGGUGAUGCAGCUGCGUUUCACUGCCGCCACGCUAACCCCUGAAACCCUGUCGGCUCUGCCCACACAGCUUCUCACCGCGCAGCUCAAGGCUGCUAAGCUGGAGCACUUUGUUGCCAUCUGGUCGGCGGGUGGCGCGCUUUGUGAAGUGGAGGAGGUUCAGGGUGGGUCACCGAAGUUGAACUUGCGGCUGACGCUUGCAUCACCUGUGCAGGCCCCCUAGGUUUCCUUUUGGGCGGCGGUUCUUUCCAUGCGCUGGCGUGGCGUUUUAUCAUCAUCAGCUUGUCUGGCGCCCAUGAGUACUAG